UGAUACACCGUGUGACCUUAGCAGAAUUGCUCAAAUUUAGCAAUGAAACUGAUAGAUUUACAUGAUGCAUAUGCAGCAAGACUCUUUGUCUUCAUGUCCUUGUGCUCAUUAUAAAAGUAUGGACGCAGAGCAUGGUUUAUAGAGUGAUGAUAAAAUAUACCAUGGCACCUGGGCUCCCUGCAGAGCUCUGAAGAUUUAUCUGUCUUUAGAUGAGAAGCCCGGCUCGAGUUGAGCAGAGCAUGUCUACUCUUUGCACUUAUGUCCAGAGGAAGAAGACCUUGAAAAAAGGAAAACAGAAUUCCCAGGAAGAACAGAAACUCAGAUUUGGGAGUGCAAGUUUACAAAUGGCUCUUAUCCUCACAGAGGCUCAAAUGAAAACCUAAGGUUAUGGUAAAAGGAAAACUCAGUUUCUAUCAACACAGAUGAUUGUUCAGAAGUGCUGCUGGAAGACGGAAGGAUAACUUUGUGAGCAACUGAACUAUUGAAACCUGUUUCCCUUUGAAUUUAUCUUAUUUCUACUAUGAAAACAUCUCUAAUUCCACUUGCAAUAAAUGCAGCUAUGUAAUAAAUAAAUAAAAUACA
rnacentral:lncRNA from 1 species